rnacentral:lncRNA from 1 species
UUAGGUUAGGUCUCUCUCCGGGGAAAUCUGCCGACCAUGAAGAAAAUCUGCCCGGAAACGCGGUAAAUUUGAAAAAGCAUGUUACAAACUGCAGAUUGCGCGCAUAAGAGUGUAUUUUAAACGUUUUAGAUGUGUAAGACGUGAUUUUCGAGCGAAUUCACCCCGAGAAAGUGUAUUCGGGUACCUGUAUCUCUUGUUUGCAACAGUCCCACUGCCUUAUAAGUUCGUAUACUUUUACAAAAAAUCAGCCGAACCACUUCGCAGGAACGGCAAUUUAUUUCGGGCUGUAUUCCUACUGCAGCUAGAUAAAGGUCUCGUGAGAGAAGAAACAAACUUUUCGAGGAAAACCUGAACUUUUAAAUCACACAAAAACACUUUUGCGCACGGAUCCGCCACACAAAGAUAGUCAGCUUGCGAAAAACUCACAAAAAAUUGACUCGCAAAGAAAAGAAAUGAGGAAAAUCCAAUCGACGGUGUUAUUGUGAUAUUCGAAACCUAAAAAUUGCGCAAUGGAGGCGAGAAGUCGGUCGAAAAAGAUCAGAGAGAUGAGCAACACAUUGUGUAAGCCGUGAGACGAGCAUUUGCAGAGUGGUCGUCAUAAGCAGGGUUACAUUCUGCGAUGAGAUUCUAUACCUACCUUUUCGUUAUAUGUGUGUUCCGCUCGUCGUCAAUCGAUUUUUAUUGUGACACGGCAUGUGAUGAUGGAGUCGUUUUGGAUACGCAGCGCUGUCAAGCCUACUGCAAUUCAGUGCAUGGUAGAGUUCCUCUGUUCAACAAGCCAUACAGUCAUGGAACGUGUUUCAUGAACAACUGCGUUUGCCAAUUCAACCAUUCGGGGCUGCGACCAUAUGCGGAUCCAUGUGCUGUCAGGUUUGCUAUGUCAUCCCUCGGAAACCAGAUAAAGUUCGCCGAUAGAAAAAUAGGGGCAAAAGUUGUUCGUAUGGACGCAAGAGAAAAAUUCGCGGCAUUCAAGAGGGCUUAUGGGAAGACCUAUCACACAAAAACUGAAGAGCAAAAACGUUUUAUGAUAUUCAAUGAGAACUUGGGCAAAAUCGACAGUCUCAUGGCUAGAAGAAAAGGGAGCGUCGUUUUUGGCAUUGGCCCAUACACGGACUUAAAGAG